UUUAUGGAGAGUUUGAUCCUGGCUCAGGACGAACGCUGGCGGCGUGCCUAAUACAUGCAAGUCGAGCGGAUCGAUGGGAGCUUGCUCCCUGAGAUCAGCGGCGGACGGGUGAGUAACACGUGGGUAACCUGCCUGUAAGACUGGGAUAACUCCGGGAAACCGGGGCUAAUACCGGAUAACACCUACCCCCGCAUGGGGGAAGGUUGAAAGGUGGCUUCGGCUAUCACUUACAGAUGGACCCGCGGCGCAUUAGCUAGUUGG
rnacentral:rRNA from 1 species